rnacentral:tRNA from 1 species
CUUGUCGAGGCAGAGUUGUGGSUUAAACCCCCGCGUGUCUUG